rnacentral:rRNA from 1 species
GAUGAACGCUGGCGGCGUGCCUAAUACAUGCAAGUCGAGCGAACAGACGAGGAGCUUGCUCCUCUGACGUUAGCGGCGGACGGGUGAGUAACACGUGGAUAACCUACCUAUAAGACUGGGAUAACUUCGGGAAACCGGAGCUAAUACCGGAUAAUAUAUUGAACCGCAUGGUUCAAUAGUGAAAGACGGUUUUGCUGUCACUUAUAGAUGGAUCCGCGCCGCAUUAGCUAGUUGGUAAGGUAACGGCUUACCAAGGCAACGAUGCGUAGCCGACCUGAGAGGGUGAUCGGACACACUGGAACUUAGACACGGUCCAGACUCCUACGGGAGGCAGCAGUAGGGAAUCUUCCGCAAUGGGCGAAAGCCUGACGGAGCAACGCCGCGUGAGUGAUGAAGGUCUUCGGAUCGUAAAACUCUGUUAUUAGGGAAGAACAAAUGUGUAAGUAACUAUGCACGUCUUGACGGUACCUAAUCAGAAAGCCACGGCUAACUACGUG